AUUGAACGCUGGCGGAAUGCUUUACACAUGCAAGUCGAACGGUAGAGGGGGCAACCCCUCGAGAGUGGCGAACGGGUGAGUAAUAUAUCGGAACGUGCCCAGUCGUGGGGGAUAACGUAGCGAAAGUUACGCUAAUACCGCAUACGAUCUAAGGAUGAAAGCGGGGGAUCGCAAGACCUCGCGCGAUUGGAGCGGCCGAUAUCAGAUUAGGUAGUUGGUGGGGUAAAGGCUCACCAAGCCAACGAUCUGUAGCUGGUCUGAGAGGACGACCAGCCGCACUGGAACCGGGACACGGUCCAACCUCCUACGGGAGGCAGCAGUGGGGAAUGUUGGACAAUGGGCGCAAGUCUUAUCCAGCCAUUCCGCGUGCAGGAUGAAGGCCCUCGGGUUGUAAACUGCUUUUGUACGGAACGAAAAGGUCUCUCUUAAUACGGGGGGCUCAUGACGGUACCGUAAGAAUAAGCACCGGCUAACUACGUGCCAGCCGCCGCGGUAA
rnacentral:rRNA from 1 species